UUUCCGUAGGUGAACCUGCGGAAGGAUCAUUGUCGAAACCUGCCCAGCAGAACGACCCGCGAACUUGUAUAAACAACCGGGGGCGGGGGGCGUUCUCGCCCCGUGCCCCCGAACGGCGGGGAGACACUCGUGCCUUCUUGCCGAACAACGAACCCCGGCGCGGUCUGCACCAAGGAACUUCAACUAAAGAGUGCCUCCGGUCGCCUCGGAAACGGCGUGCGUGCCGGGGGCGAAUCUUGUGCAAAACCAUAACGACUCUCGGCAACGGAUAUCUCGGCUCUU
rnacentral:misc_RNA from 1 species